CACUGUUUUGUAAGAUUUUAUUUAUCUUUAAUUUACAAUAAAUAAAGAAUACAACAUGGAUAUGAUUCCAUGACUAACAAUAACUGCAUGAAUGCAACUGCUUCCCAGUGAAUUUCAACAUAACCCAGAGACAUGAAGCUACAUUUGUUGGUAAACUGGCUCCACCACCUCUUAUUUCUUCAAGACUAAGCCUUAAUGGAAAAACCCCACUUUCUGAAGUUAAACUUCCACUUUAAUAAAUGACUUUUUCCAAAUAUCAGCCCGUAAGAUUCAUAUAGGCUUUUAAAGCAUAAAAAUAGCCUUUAAAAGCACCACCAAAACCCUCAAGAAACCAAGAGUCUUUUCAAAAGGAUUCCUCUCAAAGGACUUGGUUUGUUUUUUUUUUUAAUAAAAAGGCUUUGUGUCAGACAAUCGUUUCAGCAGAUUUACUUAAUUUUAUGUUAUUUUCUCCAUUACUUAGCUUAUAUAAUUCCCCAGAAUACGCAGGAGUUUUAAAGCAAUUAAAGAUACAAGCUAGUAAUCAAUACCAGUUUGCAGCUUUUCUGCAAGUCUUUCAUGUCCAGACAGGUAUUAAAAAAACCCAGCUCAAGUCAAAGGGCAUCACUAGGCAACAGCAGGUAUUAGUCACAUGCUCUCCAAGAAGCACUUCCAAGGCAAGUUACAGGCAAGUUCCUGAGUGUUAGAAUAGCCUACCUAUGUUUCACACAUGUAAGACAUUAUACCUCUUACAGCAAAAACUAAAACAUUUAUCAGAAACAGAUCAUCUUCUCAGUCAUUCCCACCUAACAAUCUCUAAACAUUCAACACCCAGAGAGCUUCAUUAGCAGUCUAAUGCUGUUAUAUAAAGGCAGUCUGCUAGCAUGGGCUGACACCAAGGACCCCCCGUGCCUACUGAUUGAGAAAUAAAUACCCAUGACUUCAUAGGAAAGUCACCAUCUCAUGUCUAACACAUUCCUCAGGCUGCAGCUUCGUAUCAGAGCUGAGCUAAAACUUGCUGCCAUAUACAGGAUCUGUCCUGCUUCGCCUUGCACCACCUCAAGGCACAGAUGACUCUUCAUUGGUGCCAGCUCUGGCAGCUACACCAGUAGAAAACUACUCACUUCUUUCUGUAUGGUCAGGGCAAGUUUUCAAAGAAAGCCAAGUAAAUGUCUACCUCAGCUAACGACAUCACCCUUCCCUGAUUUCCCCCAGUCGUGGCCACACCGACUCCCUGCGGUGGCUGAUGCUCACAUGGCAGUAAGGCAGUCAGUCCUGCAGGCAUGCCUGACAGAACACACAGCUCAGCAGAAAAGCCAUUUCCUGGCAGUUUAGCAAGUUGACUCACUGAGCUGGGCUACCUAUUGCCAAACCUGCUGCUAGAAGUGAGGGACUGCAUGAGCAGCUGCUCUUUCCAAUGGGCACUCCCUGAUCCAUCGCGUGAUGCUGAAACAUGAAAUCCAUGCCAAGUUGCAUGGCCAGGAUGGAGAAAAAUGGAUAGUGGAAAAUGCUAUAAGGUACUAGAAAGAAAACUCCAGAUUAACAAUUGGAAACCCAGAUAAAGCUGAAGAAUAUACUUGAAAUUACAAAACUAUAUAGCCAAGAAGAGCUUUCAGUGACUGCUUCAAGAGAAUUUAUCCUGCAUCCUGCCACUAGCCGGAAAAUCCAGUACUCACAGAGCUUAGUAUCAGCUCUUCAAAGAAAUUUUUCUUUGUUGGAAGUUGUUCAAAUCAUGCCCUUUCUGGAAGAAGUAUUCUGACCAGUUAGUACAAGAGUAAACACAGUUCAAUCCACAUUCUCUUAACUUUGGCUUAAUAUUUUUAAUUUUAAUUUAAAAUGAAACAAUUCC
rnacentral:lncRNA from 1 species